AGACGUCGCACCCGGAAGUAAAGCGGCUCCGUGACGGAGCGGCGGUGCGCGCGGCAGGGCCCGGAGUAUCCCGCUUUCUUUGGAGGAAACCACCGCAUCAGAUCUGCGCUGCGGCAGAGGCAGGCUACAACCACUAGCACGGCUGACGAUGGCCCUUUCUGCGGAGACCGAGUCACACAUCUACCGAGCUCUGCGUACUGCUUCUGGCGCUGCCGCCCACCUUGUGGCCCUGGGCUUUACCAUCUUUGUGGCUGUGCUUGCCAGGCCUGGCUCCAGUCUCCACCUAUGUACAGCGAACACCUCAACAGAUGGCAUGUGACUCGACCAGUAUGCUCCUAGCUUGACAAGAUUUUGGAAAAUUUCACAGUACCUUCUCCGCUCGGCGUCUUGAGGGUCUGUGCCUGGCAGGCUGAUGGUGAUGGAGGAUGGGGCACCCACAUCGUAGCGCUUCACCGUCUUCUGGCAUAUCUUUACCUUCACCAGGAGGCUGUGCACCAAGUUCGCCAGCAAACCCACCACAGGCUGCAGGAUCUCAGGGAAGAAAGUGGCGAAAGCAAAGUGGUCAGCCAUGUCCCCUCGGCCCCGGCUAUGGCGCUGGUAGAAGCGAAGAUAUACCCAACUGGAGAGCAGCCCGAAGCCAUAGGAAGCCAGCGCCGGGCUCUGGAGCAGCGUGGCGAGCCGCAGCAGGAGCAGCAGCGCCAGCAGCAGCAUGGGCAUCACACUGACGCGCACCUGGGGCACUCGCAGGACCACACAGUCCCCCAUGGUUUGCUUGAGUGCCACCAGGACGCCACCUAGGAAGCCCAAGGCGCCGUGGAUACGGACAGUGAACAGCACCAGGAAUCCUCCAUCAUCAAUGAGGACACAGAGCUGGGUGAUGCCUACGUGUUGAGAUCCUGGUCCCUCCACACACGCUCUACCAGCUGCUGCGUGAUGCCCGUGUCCAAGAUCAGGUUGUGCAGAAGGAAGUUGUUGCCUGGAACAGGAGGGGAGGGGUGGGGGUGGGGGCAUCUUCUUGCAGCUCCUUGCCCACCCUCACCCCCACCCUUAAGGCUCCACCAGGAGCCUCCUCCAUGACCUGGCCCUGGCCCAGGCCCAGCCCUUAGCUUGUGCCUGCUUAUUUCCACACCUGCCCGGCCUCUGGGUUCCUCUGGGCUGGCCCCAUGCUGCCUGGGCACUGCCCAGAGCCAGCUGCCCUGCCAGGCACUCACACUGCUUGGAGUCUGGAGUCACUUUCUCCAUGAGCUCAAUAAAGUUUUUCAGGAACUCGG